rnacentral:rRNA from 1 species
CAGCCGCCGCGGUAAUACGUAGGGGGCGAGCGUUGUCCAAAGUUACUGGGCGUAAAGAGCGCGUAGGCUGGUCUUUAAGUGAGUGGUGAAAGAUUCGGGCUCAACCCGGACACUGCCUUUCAUACUGGGGACCUUGAGUGUGGGAGAGGCGAGUGGAAUGGUCGGUGUAGCGGUGAAAUGCGUAGAUAUCGAUCGGGACACCCAUGGCGAAGGCAGCUCGCUGGCCUAACACUGACGCUGAGGCGCGAAAGCGUGGGGAGCAAACAGGAUUAGAUACCCCCGUAGUCCCUGUCUCUUAUAC